rnacentral:rRNA from 1 species
UCUUACCGAGUUUACAACUCCCAAACCCAAUGUGAACCAUACCAAACUGUUGCCUCGGCGGGGUACGCCCCGGGUGCGUCGCAGCCCCGGAACCAGGCGCCCGCCGGAGGGACAACCAACUC